rnacentral:tmRNA from 1 species
CCAAUUGUUUUUUUACUAUGAAUUUGUACAAUAUAUAUGUUACAGCUUGUCUGUAAAUAUAGUGAUAAACAUUAAACUGACUAAAUUUAGCGGACUCGGGGGCGGAGCCCGACAUCUCCACCAAUGGGGAUGAAUUAGGAUCGACGUAGGUUGAAAGGUUUGAUUUUUACUCGGUGUUGUUUGCCGUAAUAGAACUAAAAAGAUAAAUGCAAAUAAUAACGCAUUUGCACCUGCAAAUGGUAAUAGCUUACAAGCUGUUGCUGUAGGUGCAUAAUUUAUAAUAUCUAUAUAAUUUAAAAUUAUAUUUUUAUUAUAAAUGAGCGGCUUGUAGGGUGCCGGGCAACAGAAACCUUACGCU